CAAAAGGAACAGUGUGAGGAGGAAGGAGCAGCAGAGACGAAGUGUUGUGGAAUGACCACAGUCCCCAUUCUCUAUCCCCUGCACUUCUCAGGGGAAGGAGAAGGGGAGGGAGAGCAGUUUGGUGGGUUACUGCAGCUAGCCAAAGUUAACCCACCACAGAAAAUACACUUGAGUAGGUGAGCUUUCCUUCAUCAGUGAGAACAUGCAUUUUAAAACAUCAAGAAAUUGGUUACUUUGCCAAAAGGGAGACCUAAUGCAAUGACUUCUGCUCCAGUAACAUCACCCGGAAUUUGACGAAUAUGAAGGACACGUGAAGGCAAA